rnacentral:rRNA from 1 species
CCUACGGGAGGCACCAGUGGGGAAUAUUGCACAACGGGCGCAAGCCUGAUGCAGCCAUGCCGCGUGUAUGAAGAAGGCCUUCGGGUUGUAAAGUGCUUUCAGCGGGGAAGAAGGCGAUAAGGUUAAUAACCUUGUCGAUUGACGUUACCCGCAGAAGAAGCACCGGCUAACUCCGUGCCAGCAGCCGCAGUAAUACGGAGGGUGCAAGCGUUAAUCGGAAUUACUGGGCGUAAAGCGCACGCAGGCGGUCUGUCAAGUCGGAUGUGAAAUCCCCGGGCUCAACCUGGGAACUGCAUUCGAAACUGGCAGGCUAGAGUCUUGUAGACGGGGGUAGAAUUCCAGGUGUAGCGGUGAAAUGCGUAGAGAUCUGGAGGAAUACCGGUGGCGAAGGCGGCCCCCUGGACAAAGACUGACGCUCAGGUGCGAAAGCGUGGGGAGCAAACAGGAUUAGAUACCCUCGUAGUC